rnacentral:rRNA from 1 species
UACAGAGGGUGCGAGCGUUAAUCGGAAUUACUGGGCGUAAAGCGCGCGUAGGCGGUUUUGUAAGUCGGGUGUGAAAUCCCCAAGCUUAACUUGGGAACUGCAUUCGAGACUGCAUAGCUAGAGUAUGGGAGAGGGAAGUGGAAUUUCAGGUGUAGCGGUGAAAUGCGUAGAUAUCUGAAGGAACAUCAGUGGCGAAAGCGGCUUCCUGGACCAGUACCGACGUUCAGGCACGAAAGCGUGGGGAGCAAACAGG